rnacentral:other from 1 species
CGAUCUCUGCCAUGUACGUCACGGGUUCGGAAUUGUUGACCCUAUAACAAUCCGCAGGGAGCCUUUCGAAGCUGGCCGCGUGUAAAUCCGUCGGAGUCUCUCGCAGACUCCCAUCGGCUCACACAACCCGGUUUCCCGGUUCCCACCUUGCGACGCGGGUUCAAACAACAGGGCUCGAACGGCAUUGCGGUGGAGGUCGC